rnacentral:rRNA from 1 species
UUCGAAAGGAAUGCUAAUACCGCAUACGUCCUACGGGAGAAAGCAGGGGAUCUUCGGACCUUGCGCUAAUAGAUGAGCCUAAGUCGGAUUAGCUAGUUGGUGGGGUAAAGGCCUACCAAGGCGACGAUCUGUAGCGGGUCUGAGAGGAUGAUCCGCCACACUGGGACUGAGACACGGCCCAGACUCCUACGGGAGGCAGCAGUGGGGAAUAUUGGACAAUGGGCGCAAGCCUGAUCCAGCCAUGCCGCGUGUGUGAAGAAGGCCUUAUGGUUGUAAAGCACUUUAAGCGAGGAGGAGGCUACUUUAGUUAAUACCUAGAGAUAGUGGACGUUACUCGCAGAAUAAGCACCGGCUAACUCUGUGCCAGCAGCCGCGGUAAUACAGAGGGUGCAAGCGUUAAUCGGAUUUACUGGGCGUAAAGCGCGCGUAGGCGGCUAAUUAAGUCAAAUGUGAAAUCCCCGAGCUUAACUUGGGAAUUGCAUUCGAUACUGGUUAGCUAGAGUGUGGGAGAGGAUGGUAGAAUUCCAGGUGUAGCGGUGAAAUGCGUAGAGAUCUGGAGGAAUACCGAUGGCGAA